CCUGAGAAACCCAAAAGAUCGAAUGGGGAGAUUCAUCGUCAGCGAUCCCGGCGCUGGCGCUGGUCGCGAUAUCGGGCGGGCCUCGGCCUCCUCGGUACGCUUCCGCGCCGGUAAACGGUCGGGUGUCGUCGGCGUGCACUUCUCCCCUAGUAGAACGUCGCGACCCGCUGGGUGUCGGUCUACGGCACGGGUUUGGUCGACUGUCACGCGGGCGGUUCGUCUCACGAUGGGACCGUCGUGCGUGGCAGACCCCCGUUUGCCCGACCAGCUGCCCGGCGGUACUCGCACGGUAUCGAGCCGCAUGAGUGCGUGCGUCCGGCCCGCCGCAAGCCGGGCCAGUGUUAUGCCACCCGGAUUGUUUAACGGACCUAGCGCCGUCGUCCGGGCCUGGCCUGCUGUUGGUCGGCGGUGUUCUGGGACCGGCUCGAACGACUCUUAAUUACCGGUCGGCGACGCUACUGCUUUGGGUACUUUCAGGACCCGUCUUGAAACACGGACCAAGGAGUCUAACAUGUGCGCGAGUCAUUGGGACCCUCGAGGCCUAAAGGCGCAAUGAAAGUGAAGGUCGGCCCAGCGCCGACCGAGGGAGGAUGGUACGCGUCGCGAUGCGUCACCCGCACUACCCGGGGCGUCUCGCUCUCAUUGCGAGAGGAGGCGCACCCAG
rnacentral:rRNA from 1 species